GGAUAUUGGAUACCUUGUCUAAAUUUAUACAUGCUCAUAAUUACCUGACGAAACGAAACACGCUGUCAGAAUAUUGUGACAUAUUACAUGUAGCAAUGAAAUUUAUGAAUGUCCCUUGAGUUGGCUACUUUUGAUGAUUUUUUUGUAUUGCAUAAUGAGACUGAAUUCAAUGACGUUUUUUUUUAUUGAAGAACGCGCUAAUUUAUAAAGUACAAAAUUAUUGUAUUUAAUUGUCGCUUUUUA
rnacentral:lncRNA from 1 species